GAAAAGAAAUAAUAAUGCCUCUCCAAUCACUUGAGACUUCUAUAUUAAAAUUAAGAAUCACAUGAAUGAUAAGAUGAAUCUUCAUCUUCACUGCUCCAUCUACAAUCUUCACAUUUGUAAUCUAAACAACAUUCCCACCAAUAACCAUUAUCUAAUAAAUCAUCUGGAAGUAGUAAAUCUUUGAUCUGAUCAUGACACCUUUUCUCCAAAUUUUCACUAAACUUAAGAUUGAAACAUCCUCUAAGGUCAAGA
rnacentral:lncRNA from 1 species